rnacentral:rRNA from 1 species
AUACGUAGGUGGCAAGCGUUGUCCGGAAUUACUGGGUGUAAAGGGCGCGUAGGCGGGAGAGCAAGUCAGAUGUGAAAUCCCAGGGCUUAACUCUGGAACUGCAUCUGAAACUGUUUUCCUCGAGUACUGGAGAGGAAAGUGGAAUUCCUAGUGUAGCGGUGAAAUGCGUAGAGAUUAGGAGGAACACCAGUGGCGAAGGCGGCUUUCUGGACAGUAACUGACGCUGAGGCGCGAAAGCGUGGGGAGCAAACAGGAUUAGAUACCCUGGUAGUCCACGCUGUAAACGAUGGAUACUAGGUGUGGGAGGUAUCGACCCCUUCCGUGCCGGAGUUAACACAAUAAGUAUCCCACCUGGGGAGUACGGCCGCAAGGCUGAA